rnacentral:rRNA from 1 species
GAUUAACGCUGGCGGCGUGCAUAACACAUGCAAGUCGAACGAUGAAACUCAUUAGAUUUCUUCGGAAUGAAAAUGAAUGGAUUAGUGGCGAACGGGUGAGUAACGCGUGAGUAACCUGCCUUACACAAGGGGAUAGCCUCUGGAAACGGAGAAUAAUACCCUAUGAAACCAGACAAUCGCAUGAUAAUCUGGUCAAAAUGUUUAGUGGUGUAAGAUGGACUUGCGUCUGAUUAGCUAGUUGGUGAGAUAAAAGCUCACCAAGGCAACGAUCAGUAGCCGGCUCGAGAGAGUGUACGGCCACAUUGGGACUGAGACACGGCCCAGACUCCUACGGGAGGCAGCAGUGGGGAAUUUUGCACAAUGGGGGAAACCCUGAUGCAGCGACGCCGCGUGAUUUAGAAGGCCUUCGGGUUGUAAAAAUCUUUUGUAUAGGAAGAAAAUGACAGUUCUAUACGAAUAAGGUCCGGCUAAUUACGUG